rnacentral:rRNA from 1 species
AACGAACGCUGGCGGCAUGCCUAACACAUGCAAGUCGAACGAGACCUUCGGGUCUAGUGGCGCACGGGUGCGUAACGCGUGGGAAUCUGCCCUUGGGUUCGGAAUAACAGCGAGAAAUUGCUGCUAAUACCGGAUGAUGACGUAAGUCCAAAGAUUUAUCGCCCAAGGAUGAGCCCGCGUAGGAUUAGCUAGUUGGUGAGGUAAAGGCUCACCAAGGCGACGAUCCUUAGCUGGUCUGAGAGGAUGAUCAGCCACACUGGGACUGAGACACGGCCCAGACUCCUACGGGAGGCAGCAGUGGGGAAUAUUGGACAAUGGGCGAAAGCCUGAUCCAGCAAUGCCGCGUGAGUGAUGAAGGCCUUAGGGUUGUAAAGCUCUUUUACCCGGGAUGAUAAUGACAGUACCGGGAGGAAUAAGCUCCGGCUAACUCCGUGCCAGCAGCCGCGGUAAU